rnacentral:lncRNA from 1 species
UCCCAGCAGUAAAGUAGUUACAGCCUCUGAGGGUAGCUCUAAGCCCAGUGUCAGAGUCCCAGAGCCUAAGCCACGAAAAAAGGAGGAAAGAAACCUAACCAGUCUCCUGCCAGGAAUAAGAAAAGCAAAAUCUCCGAGGCAGGAGAAAUACCCCCAAGGAGGGGAAGGCUGCAGCUUGCAGUAAUCUGCGAAUGAUUGCUGGUAAAGUCCAGAGGCUUCAGGCUUGAUCUGUGUUUGUUCCCAAAGAAAGCCAAGGAGGACGGUGUUAAUAAAGAGAGAUUUAAGUGAGAGCUGUGCUUGGAAUAAAGUGGGCUACAAAAAGGUCAAAUUUGAUCAGUUGGAGCAGAUUACCGGGGCUUUAAAAGGUGGUGUGGAGCUGGGAGCCGGGUGUGGGACGGAGGAGAGCGCAGGAUUGAUUUGCGGGGUGGAGAGAAGUCAGGAAAAGUGCGUGUCAGCCCGGGAAGGAGGGAGCCGCGGGGCGCCAGGGCCCGGCCUGGGUCCAGAAUCCUCCGUCUGUUCCCCAGCACCCCAUCCCCGCCUCCUCCUCUCCGGACUCGCCCUCAGCCGGCUCCUAGACAAUGGUUUCCUUGGUCUCUGACUUGGAUCCUCUGAAAAACUGGAAAGUUUUAAGACUUUUGUGAUUCGAUCAGAUCCUUCUGCGCUCCCAGAGUUCAAGCAGGAGUAAGCAAUUCCUUUGACGAUAUUUGGGAACCUCGCUAUUCACAGGAUAAAGAUUUAGAAGGGUUCCAUAAAUUGCAAGAGAAAGCAGUAAUUGCCUUUUGAGUUCAGCAUACCACGCAAAGCCAAUGUGAAGCAUGGAAUGGCUCAGAUCUGUAAGGGAUGCUUUCUACCUAGAGCUCACAUUUAACACUGAGCAGAACGAUGCCCUUGCAGCUAUGCCUGCAAGCAGAGUGCAGCACAUCUGAAUCUUGAAAUCGAGGUCCAUUUUGCUGAAAUGAGGCUAGAAAACCAUCUAAGGGAAAGUUAUGUUUUCCAAAAAUAAAA